rnacentral:piRNA from 1 species
UGGAAACCAAGACAGACAGGGUCUGGGU